rnacentral:misc_RNA from 1 species
GAUGAAGAACGUAGCGAAAUGCGAUACGUAGUGUGAAUUGCAGAAUUCAGUGAAUCAUCGAAUCUUUGAACGCACAUUGCACCUCUCGGUAUUCCGGGAGGUAUGCCUGUUCGAGCGGCAUUUGUACCCUCAAGCUCUGCUUGGUGUUGGGUGUUUGUUCCGCCUCUGUGUGUGAACUCGCCUCAAAACAAUUGGCAGCCGGCGUACUUGUUUCGGAGCGCAGCACAUUUUGCGAUCCAGAUCAACGUACAGCGGCAUCCAAGAAGCCUUAUUUAACGCUCUUGACCUCGGAUCAGGUAGGGAUACCCGCUGAACUUAAGCAUAUCAAUAAGCGGAGGA